UGCAGUCGAGCGAAUGGAUUAAGAGCUUGCUCUUAUGAAGUUAGCGGCGGACGGGUGAGUAACACGUGGGUAACCUGCCCAUAAGACUGGGAUAACUCCGGGAAACCGGGGCUAAUACCGGAUAAUAUUUUGAACUGCAUGGUUCGAAAUUGAAAGGCGGCUUCGGCUGUCACUUAUGGAUGGACCCGCGUCGCAUUAGCUAGUUGGUGAGGUAACGGCUCACCAAGGCAACGAUGCGUAGCCGACCUGAGAGGGUGAUCGGCCACACUGGGACUGAGACACGGCCCAGACUCCUACGGGAGGCAGCAGUAGGGAAUCUUCCGCAAUGGACGAAAGUCUGACGGAGCAACGCCGCGUGAGUGAUGAAGGCUUUCGGGUCGUAAAACUCUGUUGUUAGGGAAGAACAAGUGCUAGUUGAAUAAGCUGGCACCUUGACGGUACCUAACCAGAAAGCCACGGCUAACUACGUGCCAGCAGCCGCGGUAAUACGUAGGUGGCAAGCGUUAUCCGGAAUUAUUGGGCGUAAAGCGCGCGCAGGUGGUUUCUUAAGUCUGAUGUGAAAGCCCACGGCUCAACCGUGGAGGGUCAUUGGAAACUGGGAGACUUGAGUGCAGAAGAGGAAAGUGGAAUUCCAUGUGUAGCGGUGAAAUGCGUAGAGAUAUGGAGGAACACCAGUGGCGAAGGCGACUUUCUGGUCUGUAACUGACACUGAGGCGCGAAAGCGUGGGGAGCAAACAGGAUUA
rnacentral:rRNA from 1 species